rnacentral:misc_RNA from 1 species
GUUUCUUUGAGGCCAAACAGUCAAUUCCCUGAAGAUAAGGGAGAAGAAAUUAAGGUAGGUAGUGGUGAUUCGAGAAUAGCAGCUGAGCACACCCCAGGUGCACAUGAUCACUCCUUAGGCAUCAAUAUAGCCAAUGUGCCAUUGCACCCUGGGAAUCAAGAGCACAGCUUUAAGGAAAAUUUGGCUGCAGAGAAUGGAGUUAUUGGUUCUUCCUGUGGAAAAGCAAACCAUGCUGAGGAUCGGGAAUUAAAGGUUGAUAACAUGCAUGAAGAUAAAAGCAACUUUGCAUUAUGUACACAGGCAGAAACUUCUGACUGUAUGGAUAUCCAAACUAGCAAUUGUACAGAGGUGUAUUUGGAGGGUAGUGAGGUUUCAACUUGUAAAGUUUCUAUAUCCAGUGAUAAUGGGAGCUUAGGUGGUUCAGACGAGUUGCCAGAUGUGCAGUCUAAGGUAGCUGAUGGAGUAAGUGAAGUUUCUCAUGAUGAUUUGCUGCUUCCUGUACAGGCUAGUGCUCAUGAUACCAGAAACCUUGAUGAGAUGGAAGUUGAGAGGGUUUGUUCUGAGACAACUGGCUCUUUGACUUUUUCCAUGAAUGAUGACAGUCUGAAUAUAGUGGAGGUUGAUGCCAGGAUGGAAAAUGAUGCAAG